GGAGCAGCCGGCUGGCUGGCUGGCCGACUGGGUGGGGAUGGCUGGCGAGGUGGCUGUGCUGCCAGGACAAUAGCUGGCUGGGGAAUUCAGACUCUAGUCUUUCUGAGAUGCUGAAGAGAGGCACGCAUGGAGGUGUGGAGAGGCUCAUCUUAUACUUGUUCUGCCCCAGCUCUGGAAUCAGCCAUUUCCUCAAGAAAGUAGUCUUGGUUCCUUUUGGAAGAGAUACCAAAAUAUGGGCAUGAAGUGUGCCCAUUGUUGCAACUAGGAGUCAUUGCUUACAGUCCAUCUCAGUGGACAGAGCUGAUUCUUUUCUAUUAAAGGGUCUCUUGAUGAGAAAGAGGAGAGUGAAA